UUGCAAUGAAGCAUCUGCCGCUCACUGUUUUUUUGUUAUUUUUUUUCCUGAUUACUCCAAUUCAAAAACAUCAUCCUACCAGCUCUUUUAGUUGUUAAAUAUCCCUGUGCUUGUGGCUACAUUUCUUUGCACUGGAGAAAUGAUCUCAUUAACAAACUAGUUCUGUGCGUCCUUAACACUGAGGCCCCUCGCCUGCAGCUGGAGGCAGCUCUCUGUUCAGCCCCAGUGCAGAGUGACACAGACAGGCGACAGCGUCGCUGAGCACCAACUUCUAUUCCACGGAGGCAGACAGCGAAAACCAUUUCAUAACCAUGGCAAGGCAUGAGAGAAGCACAGGGUAGCUGCAAAGUUUUGGAAAAGACCUCUGCAACAACUGGAAGCACAGUGUACCCAAGUGGGGUAAAGUUAGUGAGAAGGAGCACAAAGUACAUACAGUCUUAUUGUCUACCUGGCAUGGUGCAGAGGGCAGAAAGAAGACAAAGAACGAAGAUAAAAGAAGCCUUUUUCCUCAAGAAGAUUGUAAUCUAGUGGUGGAGCUGGAAAAUAAAGGAAAGCAGUGGCCAUGUAUGUCAUGAGGACAUUCCAGUAACCCCAUGUGGUAAGGAACCAAGUCAGCCUGCCAACAACCACUGAAAAACUGAGCCCUCCUGCUGACAGCCAUGUGAGAGGAACACCUGGGAAGUGGAUCCUCCAGGCCUGGUCAUACUUCAGAUGACUGCAGCCCAAGCCAACAUCUUGCUUGAGUGGAGCCUCAUGAGUGACUCAGUCAAAACCACACAGCUGAGAUAUUUCCAACCCACAGAUACUGAGAUAAUAAAUGUUUAUUGCUACUAGGUUUCCUUCCUUCCUUCCUUCCUUCCUUUUUCUCUUCUCUUCUCCUUCCUUCCUUCCUCCCUCCCUCUCCUCCUCCUCCGUCUUCUUCCUCUUCCUCUUCUUCCUCUUCCCCUUCCCCUUCCUCUUCCUCCUUCUUUCUUUCUUACUUUCUUUCUCUUUCUUUCUUUCUUUCUCUAUGAAAAUAUCAGGUGUACUAUAUUUUACCUGCCUUCAUGUAUAUUUGAAUAAUUCCAUAAUAAAACUUUUUAAAAUUCACUUGUAUUUUUCUUUAUUUUUCUAAGGAUUUAAUUUAAAUAAUAACUAUUAAUAAUUUAGUUAAAAUUUAUUUUCUUUAAAAAGAGUCAUGUUAAGCCCCUUCACAAUUUUUCCCCAAUAAUAUUUACAUACAUUUGAAUUUUCC
rnacentral:lncRNA from 1 species